AGAGUUUGAUCCUGGCUCAGGACGAACGCUGGCGGCGUGCCUAAUACAUGCAAGUCGAGCGCGGGAAGCGAGCAGAUCCCUUCGGGGUGACGCUCGUGGAACGAGCGGCGGACGGGUGAGUAACACGUGGGCAACCUGCCUGUAAGAUCGGAAUAACUUCGGGAAACCGAAGCUAAUGCCGGGUAAUACCUUCUUUCGCAUGAAGGAAGGUUGAAAGAUGGCUUUUAGCUAUCACUUACAGAUGGGCCCGCGGCGCAUUAGCUAGUUGGUGAGGUAACGGCUCACCAAGGCGACGAUGCGUAGCCGACCUGAGAGGGUGAUCGGCCACACUGGGACUGAGACACGGCCCAGACUCCUACGGGAGGCAGCAGUAGGGAAUCUUCCGCAAUGGACGAAAGUCUGACGGAGCAACGCCGCGUGAACGAUGAAGGUCUUCGGAUCGUAAAGUUCUGUUGUUAGGGAAGAACAAGUACCGUGCGAAUAGAGCGGUACCUUGACGGUACCUAACGAGGAAGCCCCGGCUAACUACGUGCCAGCAGCCGCGGUAAUACGUAGGGGGCAAGCGUUGUCCGGAAUUAUUGGGCGUAAAGCGCGCGCAGGCGGUUCCUUAAGUCUGAUGUGAAAGCCCACGGCUCAACCGUGGAGGGUCAUUGGAAACUGGGGAACUUGAGGACAGAAGAGGAGAGUGGAAUUCCACGUGUAGCGGUGAAAUGCGUAGAUAUGUGGAGGAACACCAGUGGCGAAAGCGACUCUCUGGUCUGUUUCUGACGCUGAGUGCGAAAGCGUGGGUAGCAAACACGAUUAGAUACCCUGGUAGUCCACGCCGUAAACGAUGAGUGCUAGUGUUAGGGGCUUCCACCCCUUAGUGCUGAAGUUAACGCAUUAAGCACUCCGCCUGGGGAGUACGACCGCAAGUUGAAACUCAAAGGAAUUGACGGGGCCCGCACAAGCGUGGAGCAUGUGGUUUAAUCGAAGCAACGCGAAGAACCUUACCAGUCUGACAUCCUUGACCCUCCUAGAAGAUAGAGCUCCCU
rnacentral:rRNA from 1 species